AUGACUCUUAGUCUACCGCCCCCACCCCCCCAUCAUCCCUACUUCCCCUUCUUGUAACUGGGAUUGGAGCCGCCACCUUCAGGGGGUCCCCAGUGCUGAGAUUGAGUGGAAGCUGUAUUGGGGAUCCGGGGAAGGGAGUCUGCGGAAUUUGGGCUCCUCUGGUUCAGUCAGGGAGGGCGGGUCUUGUGAAGUUUCAGCUUCAGGUCUCUCCGCCUUUGGCUUUGCGCUUCUUCGGGCGCUCUGCUUGUGACUUUGCACCCCGCUUUUCUGCUGUGUUGGGCUCAGCUGUGGGGGCAAGGGGAUUUGGGGGCGACCAGAAGUGGGGUUCCUGCAUUCAAUUGAAACCCCGACUCCAACCUCUUCAACGGAGCUCUGAGGUGGCUAGUGGGGCUGUCUGAGCCCCAGGGUGGGGUAGACCUGGGGUCACCAGUACCCUCUACCCCUCGAACUCGCUGGUAUUGUCCCCUGCCAUCGCAGGUGAGGGGUGCAGAGGGAGGAGCAGGGCCUGGGGACGAUGGCUGGGGACUGGAGGUGCUGUGGAACUCACUUCCUCUUCUUGCUCCUCCAGGCUUCUGUGUCAAUCUGGGAUGAGGAGGAGGAUGGUGCGACCUUUACUGUCACAAGCCGCCAGUAUAGGCCUCUUGAUCCCUCGGCCCCCUUGCCUCCGCCUCGCUCCUCCCGAAGGCUCCGUGCUGGUACUCUGGAGGCCCUGGUCAGACACCUCUUGGAUGCCAGGACAUCAGGGGCUGACAUGACGUUCACUCCAGCCUUGCUGGCCACCCACCGGGCCUUCACCUCCACUCCUGCCCUGUUUGGGCUUGUGGCUGACAGGCUGGAAGCCCUCGAAUCGCAUCCUCCGGGCGAGCUAGAGA
rnacentral:lncRNA from 1 species